rnacentral:rRNA from 1 species
GACGGAGGGUGCAAGCGUUGUUCGGAUUGACUGGGCGUAAAGGGCGUGUAGGCGGUUGGUCAAGUCUGGUGUGAAAGCCCGGGGCUUAACCCCGGAAGUGCGCUGGAAACUAGCCAGCUAGAGCGCGAGAGAGGAGGGUGGAAUUCCUGGUGUAGCAGUGAAAUGCGUAGAUAUCGGGAGGAACACCAGUGGCGAAGGCGGCUCUCUGGGCCUUUCCUGACGCUGAGGAGCGAAAGCGUGGGGAGCGAACAGG